GAUUCUGGCUCAGGAUGAACGCUAGCUACAGGCUUAACACAUGCAAGUCGAGGGGCAGCAUGAGAGUAGCUUGCUACUUUGAUGGCGACCGGCGAAUGGGUGAGUAACGCGUAUCCAACCUGCCGCACACCCGGGAAUAGCCCUUGGAAAUGAGGAUUAAGUCCCGAUAGGCAUAGUAGUUGCAUGACUACUGUGUGAACCCAGGUAUGCGAUGGGGAUGCGUCCGAUUAGCUUGCCGGCGGGGUAACGGCCCACCGGGGCAUCGAUCGGUAGGGGUUCUGAGAGGAAGGUCCCCCACACUGGUACUGAGACACGGACCAGACUCCUACGGGAGGCAGCAGUGAGGAAUAUUGGACAAUGGACCACAAGUCUGAUCCAGACCAAUUCUGUGUGCACGAUGACGUUUUUCGGAAUGUAAAGUGCUUUCAGUCGGGAAGAAGUCAGUGACGGUACCGACAGAAGAAGCGACGGCUAAAUACGUGCCAGCCGCUGC
rnacentral:rRNA from 1 species